rnacentral:lncRNA from 1 species
AUCCAUUUAAAAGUAUCAUUUGUUUUCCAACCCUGAUAUCAACAUGAUAUUUAGUCUUGGACAAUUGUUAUUACCAUUGGCUGAUUUGCUAGUAAUAGCUUUUGCUGAAUGCAAAACCGGAAUUUGGACUAUGAAUCCAGACAGAAUGAACACUAGGCUCACAGGAUAUAAAAUUCGUACAUUUGAUAACAUUUCCCCGAUAAUCUGUUUCGACAAAUGUAUCCGGAGACCAAGAUGUAAUUCUUACAACUAUAACAGACA